AGUGAACGCUGGCGGUAGGCCUAACACAUGCAAGUCGAACGGCAGCACAGUAAGAGCUUGCUCUUACGGGUGGCGAGUGGCGGACGGGUGAGGAAUACAUCGGAAUCUACUUUUUCGUGGGGGAUAACGUAGGGAAACUUACGCUAAUACCGCAUACGACCUACGGGUGAAAGCAGGGGAUCUUCGGACCUUGCGCGAUUGAAUGAGCCGAUGUCGGAUUAGCUAGUUGGCGGGGUAAAGGCCCACCAAGGCGACGAUCCGUAGCUGGUCUGAGAGGAUGAUCAGCCACACUGGAACUGAGACACGGUCUAGGCUCCUGCGGGAGGCCGCAGUGGGGAAUAUUGGACAAUGGGCGCAAGCCUGAUCCAGCCAUACCGCGUGGGUGAAGAAGGCCUUCGGGUUGUAAAGCCCUUUUGUUGGGAAAGAAAAGCAGCAGGUUAAUACCCCGCUGUUCUGACGGUACCCAAAGAAUAAGCACCGGCUAACUUCGUG
rnacentral:rRNA from 1 species